rnacentral:rRNA from 1 species
CCUACGGGGGGCAGCAGUGGGGAAUAUUGCACAAUGGGGGAAACCCUGAUGCAGCGACGCCGCGUGAGUGAAGAAGUAAUUCUUUAUGUAAAGCUCUAUCAGCAGGGGAGAAAAUGACGGUACCUGAGUAAGAAGCCCCGGCUACCUACGGGCCAGCAGCCGCGGUAAUACGUAUGGGGGCAAGCGGUAUCCGGAUUUACUGGGUGUAAAGGGAGCGUAGACGGCAGUGCAAGUCUGGAGUGAAAGGCGGGGGCUCAACCCCCGGACUGCUCUGGAAACUGUACGGCUGGAGUGCAGGAGAGGUAAGUGGAAUGCCUAGUGUAGCGGUGAAAUGCGUAGAUAUUAGGAGGAACACCAGUGGCGAAGGCGGCGUACUGGACUGUAACUGACGUUGAGGCUCGAAAGCGUGGGGAGCAAACAGGAUUAGAUACCCCAGUAGUC